rnacentral:lncRNA from 1 species
AAUUGCUCCUGUUUUUGCAUCGAUUCUGCGCAGCGUGGAAAAGCGAGUCGUCAACUUGCUUGUGGGUGUAUUGACCACCAGGUCCCUCCUCAGCUUUCACCUUCCAGGCCUCGCCCACUCUAUUUUAGAGCCAGGAGCUGGGAACAGCACCUGUUUUUCGUCUCUAAGGAUGGGGUGGGCAUUUUGACGGCGCCCUCUUUCAACCAACCCACGCUAAGGUGUCUGUGUUUCUGCGUUUUCAAGCUCCCCCCAGCCGCCCCGCGCCCCCCGCAUCCCCAUCUCCGUGGCUGAGGGCCUAGGGAGGAGGGAAAAUCCAUCCUCAGACACACUAGAUCCUCAGCGAGACCUGCUGUGGAGAGCAUCAAACGGACCGCACGCGGACCCACCUGCCUUCCAAAGUUUGGGGCGUGAGGAAGCUGAGGCACGUGGCGUUUGGUUAUGGCACAGCUGAGGGGUCUGCAGGAGACCCCAGAAAAUGCCGCUGAGGACGGAUUCACCGACGUCAUCAAAAGCCGCGCUGCUGCCUGAGCCCGCUCCUUUCGCCUUUGGACACGCAGCAAAUUGUGGACGUUAAAAUCACAGGACCAUUCAAGAUUUCUUUAUGUACAUUGCUGGAUGCUGAAGAGGACAGAGGAACAAUGCUUUUGACUGAUUAUGGUUGAUGUACGUGACUUCAACAAUCAUAAUCUGACAGCCACCGUUCAGCUACUAUUUGAGGCCUGAAGAAAGGAGAAGAAACCACCAAUUGUAUCUCUUUCAGACUCCCUUCAGCAGACUGCUGCCUAUGUCUCAUGGCAAGAACUGCUAUGCUAUGUGGCCAUCCUUAGCUGUAAGAGAUGCUGAGAUUGUGAAUAUUUACUUCUUACAGUCUCUGUAUGAAUUUCUGUGAAGGACAAGAUAAUUUAGGAAAUUGAAAUGGUGUUAGUAUAGCCAGUCAUCCAAAUUUGUUUACUUUGUUGCUUCUUA